rnacentral:lncRNA from 1 species
AUGAGCUCAUUCGAAAGUGUAGAAAUAAAAUACGAUAAUAAAUUGAAUGAUACAAAUGACAAUACAGAAAACAUAAUAAAUAUAAACGGUAAAAGUAAUAUAAUAAAAAAGGAAGUAAAAACAGAGGAAGAAAUUAAAGUAUAUGAUGAAAAUAAUAUAAGUGGAAAUAAAGAGAUAAAAACUAAUGAGGAAGAAGAAAAACAAAAAGAAAAAAAAGCAUCAAUACACGAUGAUGAUGUAAAUACAAAUCAUAUCAUUGAAAUAUUAUACAGGGAGGAACCAGAAGUGUUAGCAAAGAUUUAUGGAUUAAUGAAAGCUAACAAAUGGUUAUAUUCGUACCCUCUUCUCACUCCUUAUCACAAUAUUGAAAAAAUUGUAGAUUUAUUAAUUGAAGAAAAUUAUGAAUAUGAAAAUACAUGGUGUGUUCAUUGUAAUGCACAUUUUAUUUGUCGGUUAUUAUAUGAAGGUUUUAUACCAGUUGCUAGUAAGCAACAAGCAUACAAAACUGUUAAUUAUAAAACACAAAUAUAUAAUGAACGUUUAUUAAUACCCAAAAUACAUUAUAUUAGAUCUUGUAUGCAUCCUAGUGAAAUUCAUAUAUCAAAUAAAGUAAAAAAAAAAUGUAAAAAUUAUUAUAUAACUGUAGAUAAAGAUUUUGAUGGAGUACUUGCAGGUAUAGUAGAAAAACAUGGUACUAAUUGGUUAUAUCCAUUUGUACAAACAGAAUUUAAAAAAAUAUUUAAUAAAACAGUUACAUAUAAAAAUAUUCAAAUGCAUUCAGUAGAAUUAUGGUUUGAAAAUAAAUUAGUUGCAGGAGAAAUUGGAAAUACAUCAGGAUCGGUUUAUACAAGUUUAACUGGAUUUCAAAGAAAAAGUUCUUCUGGUACUAUACAAUUAUGUGCUUUAGCAAAAUUGUUAGAAUACCAAAAAUUCCAAUUAUGGGAUUUGGGUAUGUUAUUACCAUAUAAAAAAGAAAUUGGGUCCAAAGAGAUACCAAUGAAAGAAUUUUUUAUUAAACACAGAAAAUUUAAACAUCAACCAGCUGAGUUUAAAGUUCCUUUUAAGGAUAAACUAAACUGCAGUGUUCUGAUAAGAGGAACCAGUGUUGAGGAUUAG